rnacentral:rRNA from 1 species
UACGUAGGUGGCAAGCGUUGUCCGGAUUUACUGGGCGUAAAGAGCGCGCAGGCGGUCGUUCAAGUCGCGUGUGAAAGCCCCCGGCUCAACUGGGGAGGGUCAUUCGAUACUGAUCGACUUGAAGGCAGGAGAGGGUAGUGGAAUUCCCGGUGUAGUGGUGAAAUGCGUAGAUAUCGGGAGGAACACCAGUGGCGAAGGCGACUACCUGGCCUGUUCUUGACGCUGAGGCGCGAAAGCUGGGGGAGCAAACGGG